rnacentral:rRNA from 1 species
AGCGAACGCUGGCGGCAGGCUUAACACAUGCAAGUCGAGCGGGCACCUUCGGGUGUCAGCGGCAGACGGGUGAGUAACACGUGGGAACGUACCCUUCGGUUCGGAAUAACGCUGGGAAACUAGCGCUAAUACCGGAUACGCCCUUAUGGGGAAAGGUUUACUGCCGAAGGAUCGGCCCGCGUCUGAUUAGCUAGUUGGUGGGGUAACGGCCUACCAAGGCGACGAUCAGUAGCUGGUCUGAGAGGAUGAUCAGCCACACUGGGACUGAGACACGGCCCAGACGCCUACGGGAGGCAGCAGGGGGGAAUAUUGGACAAUGGGCGCAAGCCUGAUCCAGCCAUGCCGCGUGAGUGAUGAAGGCCUUAGGGUUGUAAAGCUCUUUUGUCCGGGACGAUAUGACGGUACCGGAAGAAUAAGCCCCGGCUAACUUCGUG